CCUACGGGAGGCAGCAGUGGGGAAUAUUGGACAAUGGGCGCAAGCCUGAUCCAGCCAUGCCGCGUGAGUGAUGAAGGCCUUAGGGUUGUAAAGCUCUUUCACCGAUGAAGAUAAUGACGGUAGUCGGAGAAUAAGCCCCGGCUAACUUCGUGCCAGCAGCCGCGGUAAU
rnacentral:rRNA from 1 species